AGUCAUAUGCUUGUCUCAAAGAUUAAGCCAUGCAUGUCUCAGUACAAGCCAAAUUAAGGUGAAACCGCGAAAGGCUCAUUAAAUCAGUUAUGGUUCCUUAGAUCGUACCCACAUUUACUUGGAUAACUGUGGUAAUUCUAGAGCUAAUACAUGCUAACAGAACUCUGACCGGAGACGGAAAGAGUGCUUUUAUUAGAUCAAAACCAAUCGGUGGCGGGCUUGCUCGUCAUCGUACAUCUUGGUGACUCUGAAUAACUUUUGCUGAUCGCACGGUCUCGCACCGGCGACGCAUCUUUCAAAUGUCUGCCUUAUCAACUGUCGAUGGUAGGUUCUGCGCCUACCAUGGUUGUAACGGGUAACGGGGAAUCAGGGUUCGAUUCCGGAGAGGGAGCCUGAGAAACGGCUACCACAUCCAAGGAAGGCAGCAGGCGCGCAAAUUACCCACUCCCGGCACGGGGAGGUAGUGACGAAAAAUAACGAUACGGGACUCAUCCGAGGCCCCGUAAUCGGAAUGAGUAAACUCUAAACCUUUUUGCAAGGAUCAAUUGGAGGGAAAGUCUGGUGCCAGCAGCCGCGGUAAUUCCAGCUCCAAUAGCGUAU
rnacentral:rRNA from 3 species